rnacentral:tRNA from 1 species
AGGGCGAAAGCGAAUAUUUGCACUUAGUUUCGACCUAAGCUUUGGUUAAUUUAACCUCACCCUA